ACCCUGGUGACCUGCGACAGAGGAGCGUUC
rnacentral:piRNA from 1 species